AAUUCGGCCACUUUUUCCAAUUCAAAUGAAAAUAGAAAAUGAAAUGAGAAAAAAAAACAGAUCCAAUCUAUGAGAUGAAAAUCGAAAUCGAUGGUGAUAUUCAGAGUUCUACAACAUAUAUUUGAGAAAGACAAAGUCAGAAUUAAUAAAUACAAAGAUGAAGAGUUUCUUAGAUCUGAAUUUUUUUAAAGAAAACAGACGAAUUCAACUGUAUCAAAUGUUGGAGACUUUAAAACAUCUGAAGAAUGGUAAUAAAUGAUUACCAUCGCCGUGUUAGAUUCAGAGGGAAGUUCGGAUAAAUCUAAGCCUGAAGGACAACUCAACCUUUUGUUAAUAUAUUCGGCCAUAAUACAGUGAAUAUAAACCAUCAAAACCACCUCCGAUUAAAUUUGUUAAAUCAGACAUGCAAUCAAAGUUCAGAUGUAAUGGUGGUGCAGCACCAUGGAGAUACAAAUAGCUGAAGAAAGAAGGUUUAUACGAAGUGUAGAAAGUUUCAGUUCUAGGUGGUUGAAUGAAUAAGGAAUAUUGAUUGUAUGCUUUGACUUCCAGAUAGGAAGGGAUUGAACGUGAACCAAUCCUACCACCCAAAAAGAUAAGUAUCUUUUUAUACUUUAUAAGAAUCUUUAAAUAUUCCAGUAACUUACUGUUAUGUUCCUUUGACAGGACAAUAUGCGUAUUACAUGGUACAUUUGAAUUAAGAAGCAAGACAGCUACUAUUAACACAACUUUCUUCUGUGCAUUUACUCAGUAUAAGGUUAGAUUAUCGUGAUGAUCUCGAUGGGCUUAACAUGCUAUUUGGAACUGGGCUAGUUUGGCGUUAAAUUGGUCUUGUUAUAGAUAGGACAUUAAAACAAAAGAGUUUUGAUUGGUUAAAAAAUCUGAUCGACAUUUAUUUUAUUUCUAAAAGGAAAUAGGCAAUAGCACAGGGUUGUAAUUAUUUUGAAAAGUCAGGGGCAGAAUCAUAUGAGAGAUUCUGCUUUAAUAGUA